rnacentral:rRNA from 1 species
GGCGAACGGGUGAGUAACACGUGGGUGAUCUGCCUUGCACUCUGGGAUAAGCUUGGUAAACUGGGUCUAAUACCGGAUAGGACGAUGGUUUGGAUGCCAUUGUGGAAAGUUUUUUCGGUGUGGGAUGAGCUCGCGGCCUAUCAGCUUGUUGGUGGGGUAAUGGCCUACCAAGGCGUCGACGGGUAGCCGGCCUGAGAGGGUGUACGGCCACAUUGGGACUGAGAUACGGCCCAG